rnacentral:rRNA from 1 species
UACGUAGGUGGCAAGCGUUGUCCGGAAUUACUGGGCGUAAAGCGUGCGUAGACGGUUAUUUAAGUCGGGUGUGAAAGCCCCGGGCUCAACCUGGGAAUUGCAUUCGAGACUGAAUAGCUAGGGUACGGUAGAGGGAAGUGGAAUUUCCGGUGUAGCGGUGAAAUGCGUAGAUAUCGGAAGGAACAUCAGUGGCGAAAGCGACUUCCUGGACCAGUACCGACGUUCAGGCACGAAAGCGUGGGGAGCAAACAGG